GUUCCAAGCAGCCGCGGUAAAACCAGCACCUCAAGUGGUCAGGAUGAUUAUUGGGCCUAAAGCAUCCGUAGCCGGCUCUGUAAGUUUUCGGUUAAAUCUGUACGCACAACGUACAGGCUGCCGGGAAUACUGCAGAACUAGGGAGUGGGAGAGGUAGACGGUACUCGGUAGGAAGUGGUAAAAUGCUUUGAUCUAUCGAUGACCACCUGUGGCGAAGGCGGUCUACCAGAACACGUCCGACGGUGAGGGAUGAAAGCUGGGGGAGCAGACCGGAUUAGAUACCCGGGUAGUCCCAGCUGUAAACUAUGCAAACUCAGUGAUGCAUUGGCUUGUGGCCAAUGCAGUGCUGCAGGGAAGCCGUUAAGUUUGCCGCCUGGGAAGUACGUACGCAAGUAUGAAACUUAAAGGAAUUGGCGGGGGAGCACCACAAGGGGUGAAGCCUGCGGUUCAAUUGGAGUCAACGCCAGAAAUCUUACCCGGAGAGACAGCAGAAUGAAGGUCAAGCUGAAGACUUUACCAGACAAGCUGAGAGGUGGUGCAUGGCCGUCGCCAGCUCGUGCCGUGAGAUGUCCUGUUAAGUCAGGUAACGAGCGAGAUCCCUGCCUCUAGUUGCCACCAUUACUCUCAGGAGUAGUGGGGCGAAUUAGCGGGACCGCCGCAGUUAAUGCGGAGGAAGGAAGGGGCCACGGCAGGUCUGUGAUGCCC
rnacentral:rRNA from 1 species